rnacentral:rRNA from 1 species
CAAUAGCGUAUAUUAAAGUUGUUGCAGUUAAAAAGCUCGUAGUUGGAUUUCUGGUCGGAAGCUCCUGUCCUCUGAUGAGCGUACAAGUGCGUCCUACCAUCCUUCUGUUAACCUUUAAGGCUUUCGCGGCUUUCUAGGGGCUCAGAUAUUUUACCUUGAGAAAAUUAGAGUGUUUCAGGCAGGCUAGCGCCGGAAUACAUUAGCAUGGAAUAAUGGAAUAGGACUUUUGCCUCUUCUGUUGGUCAUGAGGCUCGAGUAAUGAUUAAUAGGGAUAGUUGGGGGCAUUAGUACUUAACUGUCAGAGGUGAAAUUCUCGGAUUUGUUAAAGACUAACUUAUGCGAAAGCAUUUGCCAAGGAUUUUUUCAUUAA